rnacentral:rRNA from 1 species
AUGAGCCCACAAAGGUUUCUAAAAAAAAGUGAGCCACAGAGCCAGCUGGUCGGCACAGAGAGAGACGGACGGGAUGGACUCGGUCGCGGUCAGCCAGUCAUUCUCCUCGUCCACCCAAGUCUGAAAAGAAGUGCACUCCCACUGCGCCGCCGUCCUCCACUGAAUCGAGUGGCUCCUCCUCCUUCCCCACUCCCCACUCUGCCGACUUAUCUCCGGGCUGCGCCACCUGGACCGGAGGCUACAUUGCCGAGCGAGCAGGGGAGCGGAGCGAGCGCCCGGCGGCUGGCGGCGACGUGCCGGAGAGGAGCACGGAGGCCGCGCGCCGGCGACGUCAUCGUCCUUCGACUUCCGCAGGAGGUACGAAAUCACCUCUUUCCCCCCCUUUAUAGAUUCAGCUACUCGUGA